UACGGGGGGGGCAAGCGUUGUUCGGAUUCAUUGGGCGUAAAGGGUGCGUAGGUGGCGCCGUAAGUGGGGUGUGAAAUUUCGGAGCUUAACUCCGAAACUGCAUUCGAUACUGGCGUGCUUGAGGACUGGAGAGGAGACUGGAAUUCAUGGUGUAGCAGUGAAAUGCGUAGAGAUCAUGAGGAAGACCAGUGGCGAAGGCGGGUCUCUGGACAGUUCCUGACACUGAGACACGAAGGCCAGGGGAGCAAACGGG
rnacentral:rRNA from 1 species